AUGGGUACUGGAAGCGAUCGAUAUCCAAACAUGUCGCCCGCGCCGCCAACAUGGGUCGACCUCCCGCCGGAGCUCCUGGCCCUCGUCUCCGGCCGCCUGCACGAGGCGGCCGACUUCGUCCGCUUCCAUGCCGCCUGCACGCGGUGGCGGGACUCGCUGAGCCAUACGACGGCGCUCCGCCCGGCCUUCUUUCCCUGGCUCAUCGCCCCGCCAUCCGGCUAUGGCUCUUCCGUCGUCAAGCUCCGCUGCGUCUUCUCCAAGACAACCUACCUCGCGGCGGCGCCCGAGACGUUCUCCAGUCGCAGGUGGGUGGCGCGAGCCGACGGCUCGGCGGCCUGGUUCUCCGCCGCUGGCUCCGGGCUUACGCUCAUCGACCCUCUCACAGGAGAUGUUGCCACGUCCCUGCCGACCUUCCCGGAGGACGACGGCAAGACCACACGGAGGAUGGAGAUCUCCCGCGGCAUCAUAUAUGCCGACGGCACGGUCUUCCUGUACAACUUCACCUACCCCGACUACGUCGACCCCGAUGAGGACGACGACAAGUUAGAUGAGCAAAUCUACUUAUGUUUCAACACGGCCAUCCUUGGUCCCGGAGAUACCGCCUGGAAGUUCGCCCAGAGAGAGUUGGACGUGUACACCAAGUGGGACGCGAUGAAGGGGGAGUAUGAAAUCGAGAACAAUCGUUUACCGGCCGCGUACCCUGUUGACCACAGAAUGAAACUAGUGUGUGUGGACGGAGAAGAUUACAAUCUGAAGGACACCUGGACGUGGCACAUCCUGCCCGAGCUGACAGGCGACGAAAUCAUGGACGAGGAAGAGGAGAUCCUCAUCAGUGGCAUCCAAGAGGAAGAGAUCGACACCACCGGCUGGUACCUCGAGUCUUGCCAUAUCCUUGAGUCCCGCGGCGAGCUGCUGCAGGUGUCCGUCCUGGUUCAACAAGACAGGAGCUUCAUAUAUGAGGACGCAGCAGCCCAGGCGAGCGCGUUGGUUGUGUGGGUGCACGCGUUGGAGGAAGACACGGAUGCAGACGGUGGACGGAGGGUGAUGCGGUGGGCAAGGAGGGAUGGUCGGAGCUUCUCCGACCGGGUCAUGUUCUUGGGGUUCCCGACCAGCUUUGCCGUGGAAGCCACGAAGUUCCCUGGCGAGGAGGACUACCUGAGCGGCGGGUGCGUCUACUUGCUCCAGCACAGAAGGUUGGACUUACAUGGCUCGUCAUCGCGUGGCGUGUUCAGGUACAAUCUUCUCGACGACAAGGCUAAGUUCAUUGAGCAGCUACCUCCGGAGUGGAGCGGCCAGAAGAAAGCCGAUGCUUGCCUGUGGUUCAUGCCCCAGCCUUCCAUUGCCCCGAUCCAGGUAAUUAGAGAAAGGCUAGAGGCUCCAAGGGCAGACCAUCCAAAUAUGAGAAUUAGCACUUUUCGCAUGGAGGAACGACCAAAACAACCCAAGGUGCCUUUGUUCAGAUUCCUCGUGCAAAACCUACCUCCUGCUGUGGAUAGCUCUCGGCUGUGCACCUUCUUCGGUAAGCAUGGCCAAGUUUUGGCCACUAAGAUGAUCUCACCUGCAGGGACGGCAUGUGUUAUCAUGUUCGUGGAGAUGGUGAAUAGACUAGAUGAUGCCGAGGCCACCCUCGAUGGGCUAGUCUUGGAUGGUUGCACCCUGACGGUGAAGUGGUGA
rnacentral:rRNA from 1 species